rnacentral:rRNA from 1 species
GUGAGGAAUAUUGCGCAAUGGAGGCAACUCUGACGCAGCCAUGCCGCGUGCAGGAAGAAGGCGCUACGCGUUGUAAACUGCUUUUGUACGGAACGAAACGGUCCUGGUUAAUACCUGGGGCUAAUGACGGUACCGUAAGAAUAAGCACCGGCUAACUUCGUGCCAGCAGCCGCGGUAAUACGAAGGGUGCAAGCGUUAUCCGGAUUCAUUGGGUUUAAAGGGUGCGUAGGCGGAGCGUUAAGUCAGUGGUGAAAUCCUGCAGCUUAACUGUAGACUUGCCAUUGAUACUGGCGCUCUUGAGUGCGCUUGAAGUGGGCGGAAUGUGCCGUGUAGCGGUGAAAUGCUUAGAUAUGGCACAGAACACCAAUUGCGAAGGCAGCUCACUAAGGCGAUACUGACGCUGAGGCACGAAAGCGUGGGGAUCGAACAGGAUUAGAUACCCCGGUAGUCC